UGUUAACUGUCAAAGUGAUUUUUAUUUUGAUUGAUUUAAAUAUAUUAGUUGACUAAGAAUUAUCAAUGUUAAGUGAUAAUUACAUUAUCCACUGCCUAGGAGGUGAAACUUGGUAUGCAUCAAAUUACAUGAUUAACCAUUCGUUUACAAUCGGUGUUUCUUGCUCGUAAGGAAAUCAAGCCAAGUAAGAAAAAUCAAGGAAUCAAGAAGGCAAACAACAGCAAAAAACAAAAGCUAGAUCAUAAAGAUUUACCUUUGCUCAGGUUUACAUGAAGUAAAAAAAAGUGCGAUUAAAGUAUCAAGCUCGUCUCUUUUGAAACUCAAGUCUCGACAAGACCAACCUUAAGGCCAUUUUUACAUUUGAAAGCAAAACUAUCCUCUCUCACUGCUCAAAUACCAAGCAACAAGCAAGCUUACUGGAAAGCUCAAGAUUCAAUUUUUUAUCAAGCAAAAAGGGAAAGGAAUAAUGAUUACGAACUUCAAGUUGGUCAAUUGAACAAGAAUCAAACAGACAGGCCAAAUUGAUGACCCAUACCUCGGGAGGUGACCCAGCUAAAUGUAGUUUUAAAAUUUAUUUCAAGGAUGGCAUUUAUUUGAAGAAUCACCAGUUUACCAAUCAAUGGUUAUUAAGCAAAUUUAAUUUACUUGAAACCCAAAUGGUUGGAUUUUCAUUUCUAUUCAAGUUUCUUUUUAAUUUCUCUUGCAAUCGUUAAUCAUUCCAGUUGUUGUGUUAAUGCAGUUCAACAUAGUCAACACAAUGAAUAUAUUAGACGGCCAAGUGAAGCUUUAUUGUUAACGUAACAGUCAACACACAAAAUGGCACGAAACAACUCAAAAUUCAUAUUAGAUUAUAAUCAACGCUCAAUUUUCACCAUCUUUACCAUCUUCCUCAUCUUGCCUCACUUUCAUCUUGCUGAAUAUGUUAAACGUGAUGAUUAGUGCAAGAUAUGUAUUAUCAUUAUUUAAAAUAACAAUCAAGGUUUACAUUUGGUCAUCUUUUUUUUCCUUCUCAUUACAAUUAUAUUGAAUUUACCAAGGUGAACUCCAAUCACGAUUAGGCAAAAAAUAUACAUCAAAAUUGAUAAUCAAGUUUGACUUUGAACAAAGUGUAAUUGAUGUUUAAGCUCAAUCACUGAAUUUGAAAAGGCAAAGCUUUAUCAAUUGUUUGAAUGUUCAAGUUGAUCAAAAUUUACUCAAUUAGUGAUGGGUUUGGUGAAAAUUCAAUGGACAAGGAAGGAAGAAGAAGGCGAAGGCAAAGAAGGAAGAAGAUUAAGAGUUGGACCGAAAUCUAAUUAACUGAUUAAUUGAGGAAGCUAAACAAAUGGUCAGUCCUGCUAAUAUUUAUUGGAUAAAAGAGUCUAAUAAGUUACCUGUAACCAAGCAAACCGGCUUUCUUACCUUUCUUAAAACAUCUUUUGUUGGCUCCAUUCAUCUUCAUCAUCAUUCUUGGACCUGUUGUCGUUCAAGUUGAAUGUAAACAAGUUUAUCAUGGAAACGAUCAACGUUCAAAUUGUUCCACCUUUAUCACGUUUCAACGAUUUGGUUGAUGGUGAAAGUGCAACGGAAAGUAAAAGCGAGUCAAGAAAAGUGAAAGUAAAAUGAAAAUAAAAAAGGUUCACUUUGUUUGUAUUUUGAAAUGUGAGAAGCGCAAAAACUCAUCAUCAAAAGGUAACAUUAAUUUGUGAUUAUAUCUGAUUAGAAAGCAAUUUGUGAUCAAAAUCACGUCUUAUUAAAUUUUUAAAUUAACCCAGCAAAGUAAACUAACACAACCUAUUGAUUUUGUAAAGUUAAUCAUCUUUUCCAGUUCAAGGUAAACAAAUUUAAACAACAACAGCAACAAGAAAAAAUGCAUUUUCAGACUUUUUUUACUGUUGAAUUGAAAGUAAAAAAUUAUAAAAAUUUGUUAAAUAAUUUUAAUGUUGCUUUUUUGUCUCACAAAAAAGGCUUUUAUAGCAAUUUUCAUUUCAAAAACUUGACUUAAACUUGAAAAUUAAUGACACAAAUUAGUGAUGAAAAUAAUUGCAAAUGAAAUUGUUUUUUAUUAACUCAAUUCCCCUGUUAAUUGUUGACAUCAACUGGUUUCCAGUAAGCAUUGAAUAUCCACCAGAUUUUAACCCAAAUCACAUUGAGUUUUUAAAUUAAUAAACAAGUGAAAUGAAAAUUUAAA